rnacentral:piRNA from 1 species
GUGAGUGGAUUUGUAGAUCAUUAAUAGA